rnacentral:rRNA from 1 species
AGUGAACGCUGGCGGUAGGCCUAACACAUGCAAGUCGAACGGCAGCACAGUAAGAGCUUGCUCUUACGGGUGGCGAGUGGCGGACGGGUGAGGAAUACAUCGGAAUCUACUUUUUCGUGGGGGUUAACGUAGGGAAACUUACGCUAAUACCGCAUACGACCUACGGGUGAAAGCAGGGGAUCUUCGGACCUUGCGCGAUUGAAUGAGCCGAUGUCGGAUUAGCUAGUUGGCGGGGUAAAGGCCCACCAAGGCGACGAUCCGUAGCUGGUCUGAGAGGAUGAUCAGCCACAAUGGAACUGAGAAACGGUCCAGACUCCUACGGGAGGCAGCAGUGGGGAAUAUUGGACAAUGGGGGCAAGCCUGAUCCAGCCAUACCGGGUGGGGGAAGAAGGCCUUCGGGUUGUAAAGCCCUUUUGUUGGGAAAGAAAAGCAGCAGGUUAAUACCCCGCUGUUCUGACGGUACCCAAAGAAUAAGCACCGGCUAACUUCGUG